rnacentral:rRNA from 1 species
CAGGGUACUCGAGUGGCGAACGGGUGAGUAACACGUGGGUGACCUGCCCUGCACUUCGGGAUAAGCUUGGGAAACUGGGUCUAAUACCGGAUAGGAGCCAUCUUUAGUGUGGUGGUUGGAAAGUUUUUUCGGUGUAGGAUGAGCUCGCGGCCUAUCAGCUUGUUGGUGGGGUAAUGGCCUACCAAGGCGGCGACGGGUAGCCGGCCUGAGAGGGUGUACGGCCACAUUGGGACUGAGAUACGGCCCAG